rnacentral:rRNA from 1 species
GAGUGAACCGGGAUGAGCUCAAAUUUAAAAUCUGGCGUCUUUCAGGCGUCCGAGUUGUAAUCUAUAGAGGCGUUUUCCGCGCCGGACCGCGUCCAAGUCUCUUGGAAUAGAGUAUCAAAGAGGGUGACAAUCCCGUACUUGACGCGACAACCGGUGCUCUGUGAUACGUUCUCAAUGAGUCGAGUUGUUUGGGAAUGCAGCUCUAAAUGGGUGGUAAAUUCCAUCUAAGGCUAAAUAUUGGCGAGAGACCGAUAGCGAACAAGUACCGUGAGGGAAAGAUGAAAAGCACUUUGGAAAGAGAGUUAAACAGCACGUGAAAUUGUUAAAAGGGAAACGAUUGAAGUCAGUCGUGUGAAAGGUAUUCAGCCGUCUCUGGCGGUGUAUUUGCCUUUCACGGGUCAACAUCAGUUUGAUCCGGUAGAAAAAGGCAGGAGGAAGGUGGCACCCUCGGGUGUGUUAUAGCCUCUUGUCAUAUGUGCCGGACCAGACUGAGGAACGCAGCUUGCCGCAAGGCCGGGGUUCGCCCACGUACAAGCUUAGGAU